UUUAAAGCUAAACACAUGCGCUAGAUUAUUGUUAGUUAUGUUCUUUAAAUUUAAAGGAUUUGGCGGUAAUUUAGUCUAGUUGGAGGAACCUGUUUUUUUAAAACGAUGAGCCACGAAGAAUCUUACUUACCUUUAUUUGUUAGUAUACCGUCAUUAUUAGAUAACUUUGAUAAAAUUAGUUGUCGAAAUAUAGCUAUUUAUGUUAGUAUAAUAUAUUAGAUCAAGGUGCAGCCAAUAGGUAUGUAAAAAUGGGUUACAAUAAAUUUUAUUUUAAACGAAUCGUGAAUUGAAUAUAUUUAUGUGAAGGAGAAUUCAAUUGUAAAUUUGGUUUAAUAAGCUAAAUUGGUAAAAGCUCUAAAUUGUGUACAUAUCGCCCGUCACUUUCAUCUUAAAAUGAAAUAAGUCGUAACAUAG
rnacentral:rRNA from 1 species